GUACAGAGGGGGCAAGCGUUUGUUCGGAAUUACUGGGGCGUAAAGGGCGCGUAGGCGGCCUGUUAAGUCGGACGUGAAAUCCCCUCGGCUCAACCGGGGGAACUGCGUCCGAUACUGGCGGGCUUGAAUUCGGGAGAGGGAUGUGGAAUUCCAGGUGUAGCGGUGAAAUGCGUAGAUAUCUGGAGGAACACCGGUGGCGAAGGCGGCAUCCUGGACCGACAUUGACGCUGAGGCGCGAAAAGCCAGGGGGAGCAAACGGG
rnacentral:rRNA from 1 species